rnacentral:rRNA from 1 species
AGUAAAUUGGUUAAGUUAGAAAGGGCGCACGGUGGAUGCCUUGGCACUAGGAGCCGAAGAAGGACGGGACUAACACCGAUAUGCUUUGGGGAGCUGUACGUAAGCGUUGAUCCAGAGAUUUCCGAAUGGGGGAACCCACUAUCUUUAGUCGGAUAGUAUCCUUACGUGAAUACAUAGCGUGAGGAAGGCAGACCCAGGGAACUGAAACAUCUAAGUACCUGGAGGAAGAGAAAGAAAAAUCGAUUUCCUGAGUAGCGGCGAGCGAAACGGAAAGAGCCCAAACCAAGAAGCUUGCUUCUUGGGGUUGUAGGACACUCUAUACGGAGUUACA